rnacentral:lncRNA from 10 species
CAGUUACAGAGUUCUUCAGUCAGCAGAGCUUAAGAGGUAAUGAGAGAUCACCAGGCUAGGAGGAUAGAGAAGCCUGAAUUCUGCUAAGGAAUAGACAUAAACAACUGCCAGCCAUUAUUCUGGAGGUCACAAGAAGUGAUUCAGCACUCAGGAUUAUUGCCCACACCCCUACGAUUGCACCCCCAAGCAAUCACCAGCAAGCACCCAAUGCCUAGCCAUCCCCACCCCUUCCCCCAAACUACCUUUGAAAAACCCCUAACCUACCAGCCUUCAAUGAGAUUGAUUUGAGUAAUAACUCCAUCUCCAGUGUGGAGUGGCCAGCCUCACAUCAAUUAAACUCUUUCUUUACUGCAAUGCUAUGGUCUUUGUUUGUGCAGCAGGCAGGAAGAACUCCUCAGGCAGUUACACUUCGAGCCUUAAGACACCUUGAUGUCAGACUUCCAGUGCCCUGAAUUGUGACAGAAUAAAUUUCUGUUGUUUUAAA